GAUGAACGCUGGCGGCGUGCCUAAUACAUGCAAGUCGAGCGAACAGACGAGGAGCUUGCUCCUCUGACGUUAGCGGCGGAAGGGUGAGUAACACGUGGAUAACCUACCUAUAAGACUGGGAUAACUUCGGGAAACCGGAGCUAAUACCGGAUAAUAUAUUGAACCGCAUGGUUCAAUAGUGAAAGACGGUUUUGCUGUCACUUAUAGAUGGAUCCGCGCCGCAUUAGCUAGUUGGUAAGGUAACGGCUUACCAAGGCACGAUGCGUAGCCGACCUGAGAGGGUGAUCGGCCACACUGGAACUGAGACACGGUCCAGACUCCUACGGGACGCAGCAGUAGGGAAUCUUCCGCAAUGGGCGAAAGCCUGACGGAGCAACGCCGCGUGAGUGAUGAAGGUCUUCGGAUCGUAAAACUCUGUUAUUAGGGAAGAACAAAUGUGUAAGUAACUAUGCACGUCUUGACGGUACCUAAUCAGAAAGCCACGGCUAACUACGUG
rnacentral:rRNA from 1 species